rnacentral:rRNA from 4 species
GGGUCAGCGACUGGGGUGAAGUCGUAACAAGGUAGCCGUAGGGGAACCUGUGGCUGGAUCACCU